UACAGAGGUGGCAAGCGUUGUUCGGAAUUACUGGGCGUAAAGGGCGCGUAGGUGGCCCGGUGAGUCUUUGGUGAAAGCGCGGGGCUCAACCCUGCGUCGGCCAGGGAUACUGCCGCGGCUCGAGCACUGUAGAGGCAGGCGGAAUUCCGGGUGUAGCGGUGGAAUGCGUAGAGAUCCGGAAGAACACCGGUGGCGAAGGCGGCCUGCUGGGCAGUGGCUGACGCUGAGGCGCGACAGCGUGGGGAGCAAACAGG
rnacentral:rRNA from 1 species